GCGGAGGAAAAGAAACUAACAAGGAUUCCCCUAGUAACGGCGAGUGAACCGGGAAGAGCUCAAAUUUGAAAUCUGGCGUCCUCAGGGCGUCCGAGUUGUAAUCUAUAGAGGCGUUUUCCGUGCCGGACCGUGUCCAAGUUCCUUGGAACAGGAUAUCAAAGAGGGUGACAAUCCCGUACUUGACACGACGACCGGUGCUCUGUGAUACGUCUUCUACGAGUCGAGUUGUUUGGGAAUGCAGCUCAAAAUGGGUGGUGAGUUCCAUCUAAAGCUAAAUAUUGGCGAGAGACCGAUAGCGAACAAGUACCGUGAGGGAAAGAUGAAAAGCACUUUGGAAAGAGAGUUAAACAGUACGUGAAAUUGUUGAAAGGGAAACGAUUGAAGUCAGUCGUGACCGAGAGGCUCAGCCGGUUCUGCCGGUGUAUUCCCCUCGGUCGGGUCAACAUCAGUUUUGUCCGGUGGAUAAGGGCGGUAGGAAGGUGGCACCCUCGGGUGUGUUAUAGCCUGCCGUCGCAUACAUCGGGUGAGACUGAGGAACGCAGCUCGCCUUUAUGGCCGGGGUUCGCCCACGUCCGAGCUUAGGAUGUUGACAUAAUGGCUUUAAACGACCCGUCU
rnacentral:rRNA from 1 species